UGUGAAGUAGGUCCCGUUUGCAUGCUGUU
rnacentral:piRNA from 1 species